AUUCACACUGUUUUCUUGAUGGUGCUUUCUUUGACAGUGGUGGCCAGAUGGUACAUAAUUUGGUUCUACCAAGGGAAACGUCCACUCUCUUCCCCGUGCUAUUAUUGUAAACAUUGAAGCAAAGAGAAAAUCACAGCUGUCUUAGGAAGCAUAAAACGUACCUUCUCUUUUCUGCUCGUAUAACCUUCAGCUGGUGCCUUAAGGGUAAUGUUUGAAAUUGUUUGUACAUCAAUCUGUUUAUUCCCCCACACCACCCACACAUCAGCCUUUACUGUUGGAGAUGAUCCCUUUGAGUUGCCGAGCUGAUGAGAUGUUGAUCUGUUUCUCAAUACAGCUUGUCUCCUGGCCGUUUUGUGAAAUAACUGCUUCCAAUAUAAGAGCUCUCUUGCAAUUGGGGACACGAGCUUGCAACAAGAUCAAUUAGAGAGCAGGAAACAAGCACUCCAAAAAGUGAGGAAGUCAUGAAGGCUGAGACAACGUUCCUUCAAGGGAUGUUUCCUUCCUUUGAAGAUAUGAAAGAGAAGGUGUAUGAAUUACAGCCCAAGGCAAGAGAAAUCUCUCUUGCUGUCCCUAAAGAACUCGUGGAGCUUCUGGAGCCCAGGGCAAAGAGGGACUCCUGAAGCCACUGAAGGAAGGAAAUCAUUACAGAGAUCUACAGAAGUAGGUCAUGUGCUACAGCUGCUCAUAGUUUGAGAGGA
rnacentral:lncRNA from 1 species